CAGAGUGCCCGCCCGCGAGGACCUCCCACCCGUGUGUACCGCUACCGUGUUGCUUUGGCGAGCCGCCUCCGGGCCUCGCGCGCUCGCCAGAGGAGAACCAAACCCUCUUUAUUCAUGUCGUCGGAGCACUAUACAAUAGUUAAA
rnacentral:misc_RNA from 1 species